rnacentral:rRNA from 1 species
GGUUGAUCCUGCCAGUAGCAUAUGCUUGUCUCAAAGAUUAAGCCAUGCAUGUCUAAGUGUGAACUCAUUUCGCAUAGCUGAACUGCGUACAGCUCAUUAAAUCAGUUAUAAUUUGUUUGAGUGUUGAAGGAUUGGUGUUGUGAAAUGCCAUGCUAUACGGAUACCCGUAGUAAUUCUAGAGCUAAUACGUGUGUGAAGGUGGGGGGUGGUCAAACACUUCCCACUGUACUGAUUAGAUAUCGUGUAUGUUGUUUGCACUUUUAACUUGCAGAUGACUCAUAAUCAUUGAUCGG